CAGCAGCGCCACACUUUCCACUAUGGCAAUAUGACAAAGGAUUAUGCCACUUAAAGUGUCAGCACUUACUCUCCGGUGUUGGGUAACUGCUCUUAAUUUUUCAUGCCACGCUCAACGCUAUAAAUCCGCCUGCAGAGGAUGACAGUUAAAGCUGUGCCAGCUAAUAUCUAUUAGGAGAAGGAAAAAGGAAGCACGAAAUGCAUGCAGAUAACCCCGAAAUGGCAUCCAAUGUACUCUGCGGCACAAAGUCAGCUGACCAACUGCUAUCACCUUCAGUGGAUUCUUCAAAUGCCUUCUUUUCCCAUCAUAAUUCACAUCUUAAUGCAGGUUGUUGGGCGUAUCUCCUUUAAAGAUAAAACAUACAUGUUGCUUAACUGCGAACAUUACCUCAUUACUUGGUAUAUAUGUAGUAAAAACGGAGGUAUUCCGCAUUACAGUGGCAAGAUCUCAAAUUGUGACAACUUCAGUUAAUGUAUCUUUGGAAGCAUAUGAGAAGAUAAACUGGCACCUCUAGUUAUUAAGAUAUAAAGAAUAAGUAGUGGUAACAAAACAAGAGAAAAUCUGUGGUGCAUAUACUUAUAAUACUACGUGGUGAAACAUUUCGUACCAAUCCGGUGGCCAACAUACGAAUUGAAAAUACAACUGUCAUAUUGCGGUGAGUUCAUCCCAAUGCCAUAACAUAUUAUGUAAACAGAAAUGAGUUGAAAACCUGUACCACCGUUUGAAAUUAUAAAUUUUAAAAGGAACUCAAAUAGGUAGAUAUAAGGAGGUAUUAUUUGAACAAUAUGAAGGGCUUUUUUUUAAACAAUAUGGCAACGAAGAUUCACAGAAAAUGAGUUGUAAAGCCAAAACUUUCAAUAUUGGAUGAAUCAAAAGGAAUAUGCUUAGAGUAGUACUAAAAGAUAUUAAGUUAAGAGUGCUUGCAUGUUUAUAAUACAAUUUUAAUUUGUGAU